ACGGGGCUAAAAUUAGUCACCGUAGCUGCGGCAUCAAUGGAAACAUUGUUGGGUAGGGGAGCGUUCUGUAAGCGGACGAAGGUGAAUCGAGAGGUUUGCUGGACGUAUCAGAAGUGCGAAUGCUGACAUAAGUAACGAUAAAACGAGUGAAAAACUCGUUCGCCGGAAGACCAAGGGUUCCUGUCCAACGUUAAUCGGGGCAGGGUGAGUCGGCCCCUAAGGCGAGGCUGAAAAGCGUA
rnacentral:rRNA from 1 species